GCUCUCUUCGUCUAGGGGUUAGGACAUUGCCCUUUCACGGCAAAAACACGGGUUCAAGUCCCGUAGGGAGUA
rnacentral:tRNA from 1 species